rnacentral:lncRNA from 1 species
AGGGGGUUCCUUGUGUAGAGCAUAUAAAGUUGUUCAGUGAUCACAUUUUGUCAAAUCAAUAGAUAAAGCAUUUUAUCUAUUUUAGGUGUUUGAUAUUGUUUUUGAAACUCUGAACUACCAUGCUUUGAACUACCAUGUUUUGAGGUCGAAUAGAACUUUAUUGCAAAAUCACUCCUAGUUACUAAAUGUUUUAUCAUUUCUUUGCAACCAAAGAGACUAGAGACAUUCUUUCAACAAGUAUUUA